UCAAAAUUCUUUGGGCGGCAUCCAGGGAAAGGGUGUUAGAGCAUCUACCCGCAUUAGAGGAAAGGGGGUAACCCGGAAUAUCAGUCAGAGAGCCUGCACAGAAAGAACCAUAACCAGUCCCAUACUCGCCCUGGUCGAGAAUAGGGACAAUGUGGAAACCGUUGCGAACAAGAACGGACCACUGGCGCCAAGAGCCAUCCAUCUCCCGAUAGAAGGAUGGGGCACUCUUCUCCUCAAGAGGAGAAGGAAAGGAGUACUUCUCCUCCGUCUCAGGAGGGUAACCUAAAGGAGAGUCCUCUAAAAUGUGAACGUUCUGACUACAGACUUCGGGAGGAAGUUGAGAAGAACCGUCUGUAGUCACGGAUGGAUCCUCCGUAAUAGGAACCUCCUCACGAAUGGUAGACAAAAUAAUUGUAGGAGGAGGAGUCCUAACGACGGAGGGAGGGGUGCCUCCAAUUUCUACAUCCCGCUCUGGAGAAGAGGAGCUGUAGUAGGAAGAACCCGAGCUUCCCGAGCUGGAUGUAGAAGACCCCGAACUGGAACGUGCGGGGGAAGAAUGGGGAGAACCUACAAACGAAAAGAUAACAAACAAAGGGUAAGUUACGAAAGAAAAAAUAAUAAUAACUUACUAGGUACGGGCUUGCGCGUACGACGAGAAAGAGCUUUUCGCUUACUUCCAACAGGUAAGGAGGAAGGCGAAUCAACUCUAGACUCUGUUACGGCAGGAGCAGCCUGAACCUCGGUGGGAGCAGACUCUGAUUCAGCAGGAGCAGCCUGAACCUCGGGGGGAACAGACUCUGUUACGGCGGGACCAGCCUGAGGAGCCUGAGGGCUGAUAACAACAGCCCUCUCCUCAUUGAGAGGAAGAUCUUGCUGCGAAUCCUUGUCAGAAGACAUUAUGAACCUGCACGAAUAACAUAGUAGUCAGCCAAAGUUAUGGCAAAAGUCGAUCCCAAGAAAAGUCGACUUAGCAGCAUAAGGGAACUCGACCUCAGAAGUCGAUCCCAGGGAAGUCGACUCCAGAAGUCGAUCCCAGGAAAGUCGACCUUCAGGAGACAAGGGUCUCAGGAAGUCGACCCCAGUAAAUUCGAACCAAGGGAAGCACUUCGGGAUCGCAAAGGCUAUACCCAGGGAAGUCGAUCCCAGUAAAAAUGGAUCCAACUUUGAAAAGUCGAUGACAAGGCGUCAAACCUCAUAAAGUCGGACCACAGUCCAAAGGGGAACAACUUCGAAAAGGACCGACUUUUAGAAAAAUCGGACCCCAAGGAAGUCGAACCCGGUGCAACUCCAAAAGAGCCCGACAAAGAAAGUCGGACCCCAGAAAGCUGUACCUCCAAGGCUCAAGUCGAAGCCUCACGCACGCUGGAAGUCGAAGCGAAGAAGCGGGAUGUCGAAGCGAGAUGACGAAGCGAAGAAGCCUGAAAGUCGAUGCGAGAAAGUCGAUCGGUCGGAGCGAAGAAAACGAGUGGGAAACAAAUGAACCCCCUCCGCUAUUUAUAGGGGAAAGUCGAAGACGAACCGUCGCGGGCAUUUCCAGGGAGAAAUGAGAUUGACUCGUUGUCAAAAACCCGACAUCUUCAGAA
rnacentral:lncRNA from 1 species